UACGGAGGGGGCGAGCGUUAUUCGGAAUUAUUGGGCGUAAAGGGCGCGUAGGCGGCCUGACAAGUCAAAGGUGAAAUCCCUCGGCUCAACUGAGGAACUGCCUUUGAAACUGUCAGGCUUGAGGCCGGGAGGGGGUAGCGGAAUUCCCAGUGUAGCGGUGAAAUGCGUAGAUAUUGGGAGGAACACCAGUGGCGAAGGCGGCUACCUGGACCGGUACUGACGCUGAUGCGCGAAAGCGUGGGUAGCAAACAGG
rnacentral:rRNA from 1 species